rnacentral:rRNA from 1 species
CCCUUAGAUGUUCUGGGCCGCACGCGCGCUACACUGUCGGAUUCAGCGAGUCUUAACCUUAACCGAAAGGUUUGGGUAAUCUUUUGAAAGUCCGACGUGAUGGGGAUUGAUCAUUGCAAUUAUUGAUCAUGAACGAGGAAUUCCUAGUAAGCGCGGGUCAUCAUCCCGCGCUGAAUACGUUCCUGCCCUUUGUACACACCGCCCGUCGCUACUACCGAUUGAACGUUUUAGUGAGGCAUUUGGACCGACGCAUCUCAGUUUAACCGCUGGUUUGUGUUGGAAAGACUUCCAAACUUGAGCGUUUAGAGGAAGUAAAAGUCGUAACA